AGCCAUGUAGUAAGCAUAAAGCGAACUAUUCUUUCGCCUUUUACUAAAGAAUACCAUGUGCUUACUAUUAAUAAUGGCUUACGUUUAUUAUCAACAACACUAGUAUACUUUUAUU